UACGGGGGGGUAAGCGUUGUUCGGAAUUACUGGGCGUAAAAGGGCUCGUAGGCGGCCAACUAAGUCAGACGUGAAAUCCCCUCAAGCUUAACUGGGGAACUGCGUCUGAUACUGGAUGGCUUGGAUCCGGAAGAGGGGAUGCGGAAAUUUCCCAGGUGUAGCGGUGAAAAUGCGUAGAUAUCUGGAGGAACACCGGUGGCGAAGGCGGCAUCCUGGGCCGGUAUUGACGCUGAGGAGCGAAAGCCAGGGGAGCAAACGGGG
rnacentral:rRNA from 1 species